CGGGUCAUCAACCGAGGCGGACAACAAAGAUCUUCAGGCGGGAAAGCUGCCCCUGGAGGGAAUACUUACUUGGGUUCACGUUAACAUGGGCGCUGGCAACAGCCAAGCUGACGGCAUUGGUCAUGGAAACAUUUACACAAUACGUUCCAGAGGAGUUGAAGAACUGGCGAAGGAUAAGCUGGCAUUCAUCAGCAGGCACCACUUCACUGCAGUCAGUUUGCUGAGGAUUUAUACAGUCUGCAUCCAAGACGACAGUACAAAUCUCACUUGGAAAGCUGAAAAAUAAAUCACAAUACUUAAAACUUG